AUUGAACGCUGGCGGAAUGCUUUACACAUGCAAGUCGAACGGUAGAGGGGGCAACCCCUUGAGAGUGGCGAACGGGUGAGUAAUAUAUCGGAACGUGCCCAGUCGUGGGGGAUAACGUAGCGAAAGUUACGCUAAUACCGCAUACGAUCUAAGGAUGAAAGCGGGGGAUCGCAAGACCUCGCGCGAUUGGAGCGGCCGAUAUCAGAUUAGGUAGUUGGUGGGGUAAAGGCUCACCAAGCCAACGAUCUGUAGCUGGUCUGAGAGGACGACCAGCCACACUGGAACUGAGACACGGUCCAGACUCCUACGGGAGGCAG
rnacentral:rRNA from 1 species